GCUGGAGGCGUGACUCAAGUGGUAGAGUACCUGCUUAGUGAGCAGGAGGCCCUGGGUUCAAUCCCCAGUGACAGCA